UACAGAGAGGGCGAGCGUUACCCAUCUUCACUGGGCGUAAAGGGUGUGCAGGCGGAUAUUAUAUAAAAGGCUAUCACGAAUUGCUAUACUUGGAUAGGCGUUGAUUAGCAGCAAGUAUCUGUGAGACAAGCAGGUGUCAUAAGAAUACGCGGUGGAAACUUGAUAAUUUUAGAUAUCGCGGGGAACACUAUUAGCGAAGGCGCUUGGCAAUGCUUGAUCUGACGCUGAGGCACGAAAUUGUGGGGAGCAAAAGGG
rnacentral:rRNA from 1 species